rnacentral:rRNA from 1 species
GAUCAUGGCUCAGGAUGAACGCUAGCGACAGGCUUAACACAUGCAAGUCGAGGGGCAGCAUAGAAGUAGCAAUACGUCGGUGGCGACCGGCGCACGGGUGAGUAACGCGUAUGCAACCUACCUAUCAGAGGGGAAUAACCCGGCGAAAGUCGGACUAAUACCGCAUAAAACAGGGGCACCGCAUGGUGAUAUUUGUUAAAGAAAUUCGCUGAUAGAUGGGCAUGCGUUCCAUUAGGUAGUUGGUGAGGUAACGGCUCACCAAGCCGACGAUGGAUAGGGGAACUGAGAGGUUGGUCCCCCACACUGGUACUGAGACACGGACCAGACUCCUACGGGAGGCAGCAGUGAGGAAUAUUGGUCAAUGGGCGGGAGCCUGAACCAGCCAAGUCGCGUGAAGGAAGAAGGAUCUAUGGUUCGUAAACUUCUUUUGCAGGGGAAUAAAGUGCAGGACGUGUCCUGUUUUGUAUGUACCCUGAGAAUAAGGAUCGGCUAACUCCGUGCCAGCAGCCGC